CCGGCCGUGACGUACCGGGCUUUGUGAAUCGCGGGGCCGAAGUUCGGUUGAGGCACGGGAGGAGCCUUCAUUGAGAGCCAGCAGAUUCUGACAUUCCCAUCAGCUACAGAGGACGAAGGCAAAGUAAGAAUGUGCCAGGAACAGGAAUAUGCAAGAAAUCCUGGAAUUUUUUUCACAGGGAAAUGUUUGCUUUGGGGGCAUAAAACUCUUGAAGCAGAUCCAAGGGAACAGUCUGUAAAUAAACACAAACCAGCACAACCCUCACUGUGCAGGGACAACUCCUCCUCCCAAAAUCCAGUGUUUUAUUGGCAUGAAAUACAAUAAAACACCAAUGUGCGUAUAAAAAAAAUAUAAAUUGAAGAGAUUUCUCCUGUAGCUGUUUGUAGUCACAGAAGCUCUGCCCUUGCUUUUGGCUGGAAUUUCUCUUUUCCCUGUGGAUAAACAGCGAUUCCCUGCACAAAACACUGUCCAAAGAGCCACGGAUCCAAUAAUCCCAAACCAUGGAGGACACCCAGAAUUACACACGGCAUUGGAAAACAUAGAAAUGGGAAAAAUCAAGAAGGGAAAAAAUCCUGGGGCUGCCUGCUGUGCCACGUUCUGGAGGGAUUCC